GCCCCUGACUCUGGGAUAAGCGGUGGAAACGCCGUCUAAUACCGGAUACGACCCGCCACCUCAUGGUGGAGGGUGGAAAGUUUUUCGGUCAGGGAUGGGCUCGCGGCCUAUCAGCUUGUUGGUGGGGUAACGGCCUACCAAGGCGAUUACGGGUAGCCGGCCUGAGAGGGCGACCGGCCACACUGGGACUGAGACACGGCCCAGACUCCUGCGGGAGGCAGCAGUGGGGAAUAUUGCGCAAUGGGCGAAAGCCUGACGCAGCGACGCCGCGUGGGGGAUGACGGCCUUCGGGUUGUAAACCUCUUUU
rnacentral:rRNA from 1 species